CCUACGGGAGGCAGCAGUGGGGAAUAUUGCACAAUGGGGGAAACCCUGAUGCAGCGACGCCGCGUGAGUGAAGAAGUAUCUCGGUACGUAAAGCUCUAUCAGCAGGGAAGAAAAUGACGGUACCUGACUCAGAAGCCCCGGCUAACUACGUGCCAGCAGCCGCGGUAAUACGGAGGGGGCAAGCGUUAUCCGGAUUUACUGGGUGUAAAGGGAGCGUAGACGGCAGCACAAGGCUGGAGAGAAAUCCCGGGGCUUAACCCCGGAAAUGCUUUGGAAACUGUGCGGCUGGAGUGCAGGAGGGGUAGGCGGAAUUCCUGGUGUAGCGGUGAAAUGCGUAGAUAUUAGGAGGAACACCGGUGGCGAAGGCGGCUUACUGGACUGUAACUGACGUUGAGGCUCGAAAGCGUGGGGAGCAAACAGGAUUAGAUACCCGAGUAGUC
rnacentral:rRNA from 1 species